rnacentral:rRNA from 1 species
AUUGAACGCUGGCGGCAGGCCUAACACAUGCAAGUCGAGCGGAUGAAGGGAGCUUGCUCCUGGAUUCAGCGGCGGACGGGUGAGUAAUGCCUAGGAAUCUGCCUGGUAGUGGGGGAUAACGUCCGGAAACGGGCGCUAAUACCGCAUACGUCCUGAGGGAGAAAGUGGGGGAUCUUCGGACCUCACGCUAUCAGAUGAUCCUAGGUCGGAUUAGCUAGUUGGUGGGGUAAAGGCCUACCAAGGCGACGAUCCGUAACUGGUCUGAUAGGAUGAUCAGUCACAUCGGAACUGAGACACCGUCCAUGCGCCUACGGGAGGCAGCAGUGGGGAAUAGUGGACAAUAGGGGAAAGCCUGAUCCAGCCAUGCCGCGUGUGUGAAGAAGGUCUUCGGAUUGUAAAGCACUUUAAGUUGGGAGGAAGGGCAGUAAGUUAAUACCUUGCUGUUUUGACGUUACCAACAGAAUAAGCACCGGCUAACUUCGUG